UACAGAGGUCUCAAGCGUUGUUCGGAUUCAUUGGGCGUAAAGGGCGCGUAGGCGGCGGGGUAAGUCGGGUGUGAAAUCUCAGGGCUCAACCCUGAAACUGCACUCGAUACUGCUCUGCUUGAGGACUGGAGAGGAGACUGGAAUUCACGGUGUAGCAGUGAAAUGCGUAGAUAUCGUGAGGAAGACCAGUGGCGAAGGCGGGUCUCUGGACAGU
rnacentral:rRNA from 1 species